CGCGUAGGCGGUCAUAUAAGUCAGGGGUGAAAGCCCAUCGCUCAACGAUGGAACUGCCAUUGAUACUGUAGGACUUGAAUUUUUGUGAAGUAACUAGAAUAUGUAGUGUAGCGGUGAAAUGCUUAGAUAUUACAUGGAAUACCAAUUGCGAAGGCAGGUUACUAACAAACGAUUGACGCUGAUGGACGAAAGCGUGGGGAGCGAACAGGAUUAGAUACCCGGGUA
rnacentral:rRNA from 1 species